UGGGGAAUAUUGCACAAUGGGGGAAACCCUGAUGCAGCAACGCCGCGUGAGGGAAGAAGGUUUUCGGAUUGUAAACCUCUGUCUUCGGUGACGAUUAUGACGGUAGCCGAGGAGGAAGCUCCGGCUAACUACGUGCCAGCAGCCGCGGUAAUACGUAGGGAGCGAGCGUUGUACGGAUUUACUGGGUGUAAAGGGUGCGUAGGCGGGAUUGCAAGUCAGGUGUGAAAUCUAUCGGCUUAACCGGUAAACUGCACUUGAAACUGUAGUUCUUGAGUGAAGUAGAGGCAGGCGGAAUUCCGAGUGUAGCGGUGAAAUGCGUAGAUAUUCGGAGGAACACCAGUGGCGAAGGCGGCCUGCUGGGCUUUUACUGACGCUGAGGCACGAAAGCGUGGGGAGCAAACAGG
rnacentral:rRNA from 2 species